GGGCGGGAGAGGUUGAGGGUACUUCGCGGGUAGGGGCGAAAUCCUAUAAUCCGCGAAGGACCACCAGUGGCGAAGGCGCUCAACUGGAACGCGCCCGACGGUGAGGGACGAAAGCCAGGGGAGCAAAGGGGAUUAGAUACCCCCGUAGUCCUGGCUGUAAACGAUGCGGGCUAGGUGUUGGGUUGGCUUCGUGCCAACCCGGUGCCGCAGUGAAGACGAUAAGCCCGCCGCCUGGGAAGUACGGCUGCAAGGCUGAAACUUAAAGGAAUUGGCGGGGGAGCACCACAAGGGGUGAAGCCUGCGGUUUAAUUGGAGUCAACGCCGGGAAU
rnacentral:rRNA from 1 species